rnacentral:lncRNA from 1 species
ACGUUUGUUUUGGAGUGCAGGCGUGAAUAGUCCUUUCUGUCCUGCUUUGAGUACUGCUGUUGGGUGCCUUGGGGGGACCUUAAGGGAGCUCGGAAGUUGAGACGUGGUGAGUGCGAGAUCACUGCCCACAAAGGGGAGGAGCAGGCGGAUGAACAGCCAGAGCUGCAAUGGUGGAUCCUCCUCCAGGGCUGCAUGGGACGACAGAUAGAUGAGGCUCUAGGACGGGCACAAAUGCUACCCGAAUGCAAACCACUCCGGAGAUCUGUAAAAGGACUGGCCCCGGACAGGAAGCACACUUUAAACUAGAGGCGGGGUAAGACUCGUGGGCCAAUCAAGGCUUCCGAACAGAACUGCCAUUCUGGCAAUGAGGCGGGGUCUUCCGGUUGCCUGCUGGAAGUUUGUUUUUGCUCUGCAGGAUUGAAGGGUUCUCCCUAUGCUGCUUUGAGCGCUGCUAUUGGGUGCCUUGAGGGGACCUCAAGUAAGCUCCAUUUUUGAAACAUGGAUGCAGUGACUUAUGAUGAUGUGCGUGUGAACUUCACUGAGGAAGAGUGGGAUUUGCUGGAUCCUUCCCAGAAAAGUCUCUAUGAAGAGGUGAUGCUAGAGACAUACCAGAACAUCACUGCUAUAGGCUACAAUUGGGAAGACCAUCAUAUUGAAGAACAUUGUCAAAGUUCUAGAAGACAUGAAAGGCAUGAAAGAAUUCAUAUUGGAGAGAAACCGUAUGAACGUAACCAAUGGGGUAAAGCCUUUGCAAGUGACAAUCAUCUCCAAAUACGUAAAAGAACAAAUACUGGAGAGAAACCUUAUGAAUGUAAUCAAUGUGGUAAAGCCUUUUCACAACAGAGUAGUCUCCAGUAUCAUAAAAGAACAUAUGCUGGACAGAAACCUUAUGAAUGUAAUCAGUGUGGUAAAGCCUUGUCAUGUCAAAGAAAUCUCCAAUAUCAUAAAAGAACACAUACUGGAGAGAAACCCUAUGAAUGUAAUCAGUGUGGUAAAGCCUUCACACAUUACAAUAAUCUCCGAUAUCAUAAAAGAACACAUACUGGAGAAAAACCUUAUGAAUGUAAUCAGUGUGGUAAAGCCUUUGCACGUUACAAUAAUCUCCAGUGUCAUAAAAGAACACAUACUGGAGAGAAACCUCAUGUGUGUGAUCAAUGUGGUAAAACCUUUGCAUGGCAGUAUACUCUCCAAAAACAUAAAAGAAUACAUACUGGAGAGAAACCUUAUCAAUGUAGUCAAUGUGAUAAAGCAUUUUCAGAACACAGUAGUCUUCAAUAUCAUAAAAGAACACAUACUGGAGAGAAACCUUAUGAGUGUGAUCAAUGUGGUAAAGCCUUUGCUUGGCAGUGUAGUCUCCAUAUCCAUAAAAGAACACAUUCUGGAGAGAAACCUUAUGAGUGUAAUGAAUGUGGUAAAGCCUUUGCACAUCACACUAGUCUCCAAAGUCAUAAAAGAAUACAUACUGGAGAGAAACCUUAUCAGUGUGAUCAGUGUGGUAAAGCAUUUGCACAUCAAAAUAAUCUCCAAUAUCAUAAAAGAACACAUACUGGAGAGAAACCAUAUGAAUGCAAUCAAUGUGGUAAAGCCUUUGCAAGUCACAGUCAUCUCCAAAUACAUGAAAGAACACAUUUUAGAAAAAACCCUUAGAAUGCAAUCAAUGUUGUAAAGACUUUGGAUGUAAGACUAAUCUCCAAAGACAUAAAGGAAUAUAUAUGGGACAGAAACCUUAUGAAUGUAAUCAAUGUGGUAAAGCAUUUGCAACUCACAGUCAUCUACAAUGACAUAAAAGAACACAGAGGAGAGAAACCUGGUUAUUGUUUACAUAUUGACAUAAGGAGAUGCAAGUAUGUAUCAACUUGACAAGGGAUGGAUUGUGAUUGCUACUCUUGGUUUUCAAUAUAAGAUCUAAAGUGGAAAGCAUAGGUCCAGGCAUGGUGGUACAUGCCCUUGAACCCUAGGAGAUGAGCAUCAAGCAGAUCUCUGAGUUCAAGUCCAUCCUGAUACAGAACAAGUUUCAGGUGAAGAAAAGCUAAGGUCUAGGCCGGUGGAUACAGAGCCUUGCAGAUCUCUGAGUUCAAGGUCAGUAUAUAGAGCAAGUUCCAGGACAGCCAAGCUGAGGCAGUAAAGGAGUUGGAGAACAGAAAACUGGUGAUAAUGUAAUAGAAGAGGCCAUGUCCCAGGCCCAGAAAGCAGCAGAGCUCAGCAACUUUGUCCAUGUGGCUCUGACUUUAGAGGUAAGAAUAGAAGGGACUACUGGGAAAAUUGAAGCUUGUUAGCUGUGGAUGAGAAAUUAGAAGUGAUGAAGAAGAGACCAGCAUCAUUGAGGUGAAAUUUUCUAGGAAGUGUUUUCUGAGAGGACAAAGAAACUGUGUUCCAGAGAUAGCCAGGAUUGUACCUUGUGUUGCAGCUGAACUUGGUCACAUGUAAGAAUCAUCCAGGUGGUACUGGUUUUGAAGGCAUGACGGUGUCAUGAGGAGCAGCUGAGGCUUGGACCAAUGAAGGGAGCAUAAGUGAGACUAUCAGUGAAGCCUAGUUGCAGGAGAAGAACCCAACAUAUUGAAGAUGCCAGUCCAAUGGGAUGAGCAGAAAGAACAGCCCAGUAGAGUGGAGUCAACCAGAGCUUAGAGUGAUACAGAGGUCAGAGCUAGAGAAGUGACCUUAUCUCUUUGGAGGACUGCAGAAGAUCAUGUGUGGAUCCAAGACAUUGGAGCAAGAAGCUGUAACACUGAGGUUACCUUCCAGACCCCAAGAUCUUUGAGAUGUCAGAGCUGUGGGGUACCUGCUCAGGAAAACCAGCCAAAGAGAAAGAAUUGUGCUGCAGUUAACAAAGCAUAAAAGGAGUUGGAGAUCUAAAGAAUGCUUUAACAUGACACAUGGAGAUGCAGUUUCAAGAUUUCCAAGUUGACUUUUGGUUUUGUUUUCGUCCAGUAAUUCCUCAUGAUGACAUUUUGGAAUGGUGAAGUCUAUGUUGUGAAGUUGGAAUUAUAUGAUCUGCAUUUAGAUUUUUCUUUUUUAGGGGAUUACAGUUACAUUGAAUGAAUCUCAGAAGAGACUUUGACCUUUGGACUUUUAACGUAUUUGAGACUGGUAUAGAUGAUGGGGACUUUUGAGGUUGGACCUCGUGUAUUUUUCAUUAUGCAUGUUUAAAUAUGUUCCUUAUACAUUCCUGUACUCCAACAUGCUUAAGGGGGCCAGUGAGUGGAAUGUGGGAGUUUGAAUAUGCUUGUGACAGGGAGUGACUCUAUUCAGAGGUGUGACCUUGUAGGAGAAAGUGGAUAUCUCUGGGGGUGGACUUUGAAGCUCCACCAAGUGCAAAACAGACCCUCCUAUUCCCUCUCUGGAAGACAGUUUCUUCCUGGCUGCCUUUGGAUCAAAAUGCAGAACUCUCAGCUCCUUCUCCAGCAUCAUGUCUGCCUGCAUGCUGCUGUGCUUCCUCUGAAACUGUAAGCCAGCCCCAAUUAAAGGUUUGCUUUUAUGAGAGUU